CCUACGGGGGGCAGCAGUGAGGAAUAUUGGACAAUGGGCGAAAGCCUGAUCCAGCAAUACCGCGUGAGUGAAGAAGGCCUUAGGGUUGUAAAGCUCUUUCAGCAGGGAAAAUAAUGAUGGUACCUGCAAAAGAAGUUCCGGCUAACUCCGUGCCAGCAGCCGCGGUAAUACGGAGGGAACUAGCGUUGUUCGGAUUUACUGGGCGUAAAGGGCGCGUAGGCGGCCUAUUAAGUUAGAAGUGAAAGCCCGGGGCUUAACCCCGGAACUGCUUCUAAAACUGGUAGGCUAGAGUGUGGGAGAGGAUAAUGGAAUUCCUAGUGUAGAGGUGAAAUUCUUAGAUAUUAGGAGGAACACCAGUGGCGAAAGCGAUUAUCUGGAACACAACUGACGCUGAGGCGCGAAAGCGUGGGGAGCAAACAGGAUUAGAUACCCUAGUAGUC
rnacentral:rRNA from 1 species